rnacentral:rRNA from 1 species
CAGAGGGGGCUAGCGUUGUUCGGAAUUACUGGGCGUAAAGGGCGCGUAGGCGGCCCGCUAAGUCGAACGUGAAAUCCCCGGGCUCAACCCGGGAACUGCGUCCGAUACUGGCGGGCUUGAAUCCGGGAGAGGGAUGUGGAAUUCCAGGUGUAGCGGUGAAAUGCGUAGAUAUCUGGAGGAACACCGGUGGCGAAGGCGGCAUCCUGGACCGGUAUUGACGCUGAGGCGCGAAAGCCAGGGGAGCAAACGGGAUUAGAUACCCCGGUAGUCCUGGCCCUAAACGAUGAAUGCUUGGUGUGGCGGGUAUCGAUCCCUGCCGUGCCGAAGCUAACGCGUUAAGCAUUCCGCCUGGGGAGUACGGUCGCAAGGCUG